GGAGGAUAGACGCGGAGAGCAGCCAAUGGAGAGGCGCAGUGUGUUACACCCGCCUACAGGCCGCGGCUACACCCCGCCUUCUAAACACCUGCUCGAGCGCUGAUUGGAUAGAAGUCCGUUUCAGGACGUGGGCAAGGACCAAUGGGUGAGUGGCGGGGAUGUCCCGCCCUCUGAGCGCCGACUCGGGCGCUGAUUGGCUAUCAGACAGGACGGACGGGGGAAGCGACCAAUGAGAAGGCGAGGUGAGCUGAGGAGGCGGUGAGCGCGGCCGGCGGGAACGCGGCGGGAGGCCGCCAUGCUGUCGCUGAAGGUGAAGGUGGAGAAGCCGGAUUUGGAGGCCACAUCGGCCCGGAGCCGUUUGGAUGCGGUGCUGCAGGGACUGCUGGAGCGCAGUGAGGGCGAUAGGUGAGGAUUUGGGGGCUG
rnacentral:lncRNA from 1 species